GGCGGUUGGUAAUUAGCGGAGGAUACGAUCGAAGUGCCCAUUCCUCUGUGCUAAAAUUGUGCUAAAAUUCUCCGAAACGGAUAGAAUUGACAAGAAUCUCUUGGCCGGGGGUUCAAAUCCCUCCGCCGCUACCA
rnacentral:tRNA from 1 species